CAAACCCGAGCAUGGUUAUCAAUGAAUGUAACGAACCACUUUGUAUGGGUGCGAUUAGGGAUUCGUGAAGGUCCCCAUAAAUUGCUGUGAAUUAUAGAGAAUGGUUUAGAUGGUUUGUACACGGAUUUCGAGAAAGUAUUACGUUGGUGUUUUGCUAGUUCACAAAUUUCACAUUGAAAAUCAAAUGAAGUUUUAUUCGAAAAGAUAGACGGAAGCACGUUUAAGAUAUUGAAUAUUGGGAUGACCCAUUCUGUAAUACCACAAUAAGAUUUCACUAUCCCUAGAGACAUGCAGAAUCAAAAUUGCAAUUUGGCUUGGCUUACUCAUAUCUGCCUCCUCAAAGACCUCAAAGACCCUCAUACUCUUUGACACUGUUAAUCGUCUUUUUCGAUUAUAGGUCCUAAAAGAUACAAGAAGAAGGGAAAAAUUUAGCUGAGCAAUUUGAGGUUUUUGUUAAAUGACAGCAAGUUUCAAGUUAAUUUUGGAACAUGAAGUACUGAAUUUAGUGUUAUAGAUUCAAAUAAUUGGAUACUUCCUUUUCCUACCACAGUUGAGAGUGACCCAUCCGCAAUUUUAACCUUAAUAUUGCCGGUACAAGUUGUGUAUGAUGAGAAAAGUUGGUGGGCUCCAGUCAUGUGAUCCGACGCUCCUGAAUCAAUAAUCCAAGGAAUUUUGUAUUUCGAGGACGUAGUCAAGGCACUUGAGUGAUUACCUUUGUGAGCUAGUGAGCUUGAAGGGUCGUGUGUGGAAGGUUGACCUGAAGUUUGAAGACUGGAAAAGAUUUGAUAAAGUUGUUCCAAUUGUUCAGGAUUAAAUGCUCGCCCUGUAGUGGAAUUAUCUUUAAAAUUUUCCGUAUGAUCAAUUGCUGCUUGAUAGCCUCGAUUCCUGGUAUUUCGCCUUGGCUUCCGAUCAGUAGGUUUCCUGUGUAAAUCCCAGCAUGUAUCUUCCUUGUGUCUUAGUUUACUACAGUGUUCACACCAAGGCCUCCCCCUUUGUUGUUUUGAUCUAAUUGAAACCGACCCAUUUAAUCCAGGCCCAAUAGAGUCAUUUGGCCCAUUAUAUGGUUUUUCAGCCCAUCCACCUUUAGUAAUAAAAUUAGGCCCAUUCGGCCCAGUCACUGCCAACGGCCCAUUAAUCGCUUUCCCAUUUCUUUUGAACCCAGGUCCAUUCCGUUUCAGCAGCAACGCCGAUUCUACUGCACUGUCAUCUUCGCCAGUCUUCAUGAUAAUUUUCCGGCGAUUUUCCUCCCUUCGGACUUCUGCAAAGACCUCUCUCGUGGUUGGCAGUGGUCGUCGGCUCAAGAUUCACCCCCAACAUCAUCCAGGUCUCGGUUAAGGCUUGCAAGAAAUUCAAAAACCCGUUCGUUUUCAACCCUUUUCCGGUACCGUACACUAUCGCUUGGAGAUUCCUAUUCUUCCUCGAGGCAGAGGUCCAGUUCUUGCCACAUAUUCGUCAUUUCCAAGUAGUAGUUAGUGACUUCUCUUUCCCCUUGUUUGGUUUGCCAUAACCGGGUCUUCAAUUCGAAGAUUAGUGAGGCGUUUACUCCAUCAUAGUAUGUGUCCUUAGCUGCAUCCCAAACUUCUUUCGCAGUCGACAGAAACAGAUAAGUUUUACCUAUUGCUGGAGUCAUAGAGUUAACUAGCCAGGCUGUUAUCAUUGAAUUCUGAGACUUCCACUUCUGAAGAAGUGCCACAUCCGUUGGUUUCUUGGUAUCUCUAGUGAGAUACCCCAAUUUCCCUUUGCCUUCGAUAAUUAGUUUGAUGGAUUGGGCCCAUUCUCGGAAAUUUCCUCCGUUCAGAUUUUUUGACGGUGAGUUGAAAGGAAGAAUUUUCGACGUUAUUGGAUCCCAUGGAUGAGAUGACCUCUGUCUCGCUUUGGAGAGUUUCUGAGGUUGUAGAUUCCUUACUGUUUGUAGGAAUUUCUGACAUGGAUUGCUAGGUUAAUAGGGGUCUAGCUCUGAUACCAUGAAGGCUUGUAAAAAACACGUUUUCGUCUGUUUAUUGCCUUAAGAUACACUCUUCUGUACAUGACUUUAUAUACAAGUGAAUUAAGAAACAAGGAAGGAAACCAAUCUCCUAAAUAAGGGAAAAAUAAUUAUCCUACUUCACUAUAGAAAUAAUCAAAUAUGCAAUUUCAAUCAAAUCCCUAAUUUUCUCCAUUAAUCUGAUUUUCUACAUAGCUGUUACAUACUGAUUCCAGCAGAACUAUCGUUGAACUGUGAACUCACUCUGUGAAUCGGAAAAGUUUCCUGUGUUGUGUCCAUCGUUGUAAUCGUUAAAAUCCUAGAUAAAUCCGAUUAUUAUUCCUGGAAUUGAAAGUACAUUCUUCCUUGAGUCAACUUCGGCACGUGAAAUGUUCAUGACUGCCUUAUAAAUCUUGUUGGUUAAAUAAGAUAUCAAAUCUUUUGGGCUAAAUGCUUUGGUGUCUUAUCUAAGUUCUGUUUACUUAUUUGCUGUUGAGUUCUGGAUCGUUUUUAGAUUUGAUGGCAACAGAAGCAUGAGAAAAGUAUCCUUCGAGGUAGACAUUUGUUGUGUUAGGGAAGGCCUUUUAAUGGGGCUUAAUUGAGCAGUCCUAGUAUCCUCGAAAGAAUAAUAAAAGCCAAAGGCUUAAUUUCUUAAUAUCAAAGUCUAAAACAGGGAUCUAGACAUCAUAGGACACUAACCUGGCCAAUGGAAAGAGAGAAAAUGAGACACAACUAAAUUAGGAAACUAAAUGUUGAUAGAUCCUUAAUAUAUUGGAAACUGAGUUGCUUCAAUUGAUAUAAUUUGAUCUAAUUAGCAAGCAAUAUGAUUUGUUAAUACUAUGUUUCUGUUAUCACGUCUUUUUUGUCAUGUUCAAAUCCUGUUUAAUAAAAUAAAAAUUUGUCAUUGUUAUUAGUUAGUUAAUUGAUCCUCUCCUCAUAGUUAUGCACUGUUGAUGUGUAAGCUUUUAUUCUUGAGCAUACAUACUGAGUUUUUCAAACUGUAUUCUUGUCAAUUCUACUCUAUGUUUCUUUCUUUCUUUCUUUCUUUUUUCAAUUUUUUAUGUGGGGCAGGUGUAUUUCUUGAAGUCACUUGUUCUUGAGGUUUAUUGUGUUCUAUAUAUCACAGGUCCAGGAACAAGGAUAAAUUAAGAUAUAGAUAUCCUCGUGGGGAAUCUUAUCUAGAUGUUAUACAAAGGUUUGCAAUAAAAUGCUUUGCUAAUUCUUGGAAAGAUUUAGUUUAUCUGUUUAUUAUGCUUGGGUAAUGUUAUUUGCCUUUGGGCCUCUUUCAGGUUGGAACCUGUGAUUAUUGAACUUGAACGACAAAGAGCUCCGGUUGUGGUGGUAUCUCACCAGGUUUCACUUCUCAUCAUGAAACUGAAGUCUCAUCCCAAAAUGGCGUUGUAUUUCAGAGUGCUAAAAUGUUGUUAUUAUGGUCUGUCUUGCAGGCAGUACUGAGAGCUUUAUAUGCAUAUUUUGCUGACAGGCCAUUGCAAGAAAUACCCCACAUAGAGGUAAUUUGAGCAUGAUGGUUGAUAAUGUAAGAUGAUUAUUUGCCUGUAGUUUUACGCAUGAAAUGGAACUGACAAAUUCUCACUCAAUGUCUUUCACAUCUAACCAGAAGAAUUAUCUGUGGUUGCAACAUAUAUAGCACAUACAUGCUUUAAUGAUAUAGUAUUUAAUUUUCUUUUAUCACAACAAUCUUUACCCUUCACAAUCAGUGAAUAGGAAUUUUAAUUAAUGCUUAAGAUGCUAAGAAGCUAUGAAUUUUGGUUUGGCAAUUUGCAGAUGCCGCUUCAUACAAUCAUAGAGAUACAAAUGGGAGUCAGUGGUGUCCAGGAGAAAAGAUAUAAGCUCAUGGAUUAAAUUUGACUGAGAAAGUUGCUUAUAUGGAAAUUCUACACAUGGUACAGUAGCAAGGUCUCCAUAUUCUUGAAUGUAUAUUUCAUUAUAGGAUCUAAUCUUAACAGGGUUAUGUGACAACAAUUUAGUAGUCUCGACUACAAAUUUGGCUGUGCUCUCUCUUUCUCAGAGAGAGAGAGAGUCGCGCACUCAGGAACCUGUGCAUAUGUACGUGCAAAUCUCUUCAAAAAUAAGUUGGUGACUUCAUCAUGUAUUACCCUGAAUCUCGAGAUUUUGUUGUCUUCUUUGAUUGUAAUCUAUCGUUAUACAACAUGCUAACUUCCAAGCAUGGAGGAACUGUAAAUUGAACAUUCGCCUGUUGUUGAUAAUUGCAUUCAUCAGGUUAUACAUUUGCUCUGCUUGAUGAAGGAAGUUGAUCAUGUAACAAUUACCUGUUCGAUUAUUUUGUGUUGUACUUAUUGGGGUUAUUGUAGAUGCAGGAUAUAGUUUGACUUAAGUUGGCCUUGCAGGCUGUCUGAAACAAGUCAGAUACUGGUAAAUUCUGACUUGGUUUUCUUUUAUGCUUAAUCUUUAAGGUGUUUAGAGCAAUGUGGAUGGGUUCUAGCGCAAUAUUUACUACAUUUAGUCCCUGUUUGUUUCUCAUUUUUUUCUCAUUAAAAUGAAAAAUAUAACUGUUAUUCAUCACAUCAAGCCCCUAUACUUGAAUUUCUAUUUCUUGUGUGAGGCCCGUAACGGCUAUAUUUUUCAUUCCAAUUUUGACAUAAAUGGGAAACAAACGGGGCCUUAAUAUCUUGGAAGGAAACUGCCUAGUUUCAUGGUAAUCCACUUUCGCUUCAUCUCCCUACGAUUUCAACUUUUUAGAGUUAACAGGGGAACGCUUGCUACUACUAACCAGCCCAUUAUGCAUAUGAUUCAACAUGCCAACUAUUAAAGAACUUAUUAGAAAUAAAUUGGCGUUAUCUAUUAAAAAUUGUGGUAGGGCAGUUUAUGAAUGUCUUCGUGGUGUACUUGAUUUUACCAAAGAUGAUGAAAACUUGAACUCUCAGGCAUUUAUGUGUUGGAGAGAUUGUUUCUUAUUUUGUGUCGAAGCAAUUUAUAAAUCACAAGUUGAAAUAGGUGAAAUCAAAGGGCAUUACUUGAAUGUUGUUGGUAUAUGCGAAGGAUUGAUCAAAAGAGACACAAAUGGGGAAAAUUUCUCUCUUGCUUAUUCCUAUGCCUAUGAGUUCAAACUAAAGCUCUUAUUUUUUGUUGUGUAAUAGUAUGAAAUAAUGGACGGUAUAAAUUUAACAAUACUUUUUCUCCAAGAUCUGUUGCAGGAAUGGGAUAUUUCGAAUGAGUCUUGAAUGAGCCUCUCGAAAGCUUGAUACAACUAAACUAAGCCCGACCCAUAAAUGGCACAGUUUGGCGGGUGUGGGUGAAUGUAGUAGGAAGUGGACCGUGGUUCGUAGGGCAUUUUGUUUUUCUUAAUUUAUAUCUUCGUUCUUUUUCUUUUGCAUUUAUAUUUGUAAUUAAAAAUAAAGGUAUAAUCAUCUUUUUGGUCAAUUUUAAUUUUUUACUAUGAUAUUAAGGAGUGUAUUUCACUCAUACUUUAGACACCA
rnacentral:lncRNA from 1 species